GACGAACGCUGGCGGCGUGCUUAACACAUGCAAGUCGAGCGGUAAGGCCCUUUCGGGGGUACACGAGCGGCGAACGGGUGAGUAACACGUGGGUGACCUGCCCUCAGCUCUGGGAUAAGCCUGGGAAACCGGGUCUAAUACUGGAUAUGACUCCAUGACGCAUGUUGUGGGGUGGAAAGCCUUGUGCGGCUAGAGAUGGGCCCGCGGCCUAUCAGCUUGUUGGUGGGGGAUGGCCUACCAAGGCGACGACGGGUAGCCGGCCUGAGAGGGCGACCGGCCACACUGGGACUGAGACACGGCCCAGACUCCUACGGGAGGCAGCAGUGGGGAAUCUUGCGCAA
rnacentral:rRNA from 1 species